rnacentral:rRNA from 1 species
CCUACGGGUGGCAGCAGUGAGGAAUAUUGGUCAAUGGACGAGAGUCUGAACCAGCCAAGUAGCGUGAAGGAUGACUGCCCUAUGGGUUGUAAACUUCUUUUAUAUGGGAAUAAAAUGUUCCACGUGUGGGAUUUUGUAUGUACCAUAUGAAUAAGGAUCGGCUAACUCCGUGCCAGCAGCCGCGGUAAUACGGAGGAUCCGAGCGUUAUCCGGAUUUAUUGGGUUUAAAGGGAGCGUAGGUGGAUUGUUAAGUCAGUUGUGAAAGUUUGCGGUUCAACCGUAAAAUUGCAGUUGAAACUGGCAGUCUUGAGUACAGUAGAGGUGGGCGGAAUUCGUGGUGUAGCGGUGAAAUGCUUAGAUAUCACGAAGAACUCCGAUUGCGAAGGCAGUUCACUGGACUGCAACUGACACUGAGGCUCGAAAGUGUGGGUAUCAAACAGGAUUAGAUACCCUUGUAGUC